rnacentral:other from 1 species
UGUCCCCUGCUGUGUUCGAUAGGGCUCAUAUUUUCUCGAACCGAUAGCGUCCCUUGGUUGCGGCUCCAAGUGUUGCCGUUGCGAUCGUCCCACGCCUUGCGUGCCGGACGAACCUGAGGUGACCGGUAAGCGACCACCCUGAUCAGCAGGGUUCGGGAUCGAGCCCACCGGCAUGUGCGGGGGACAC